rnacentral:rRNA from 1 species
GACGAACGCUGGCGGCGUGCUUAACACAUGCAAGUCGAGCGGUAAGGCCCUUCGGGGUACACGAGCGGCGAACGGGUGAGUAACACGUGGGUGACCUGCCCUCCACUUCGGGAUAAGCCUGGGAAACUGGGUCUAAUACCGGAUAGGACCAUUGGAUGCAUGUCUGGUGGUGGAAAGUUUUGUCGGUGGGGGAUGGGCCCGCGGUCUAUCAGCUUGUUGGUGGGGUGAUGGCCUACCAAGGCGACGACGGAUAGCCGGCCUGAGAGGGUGAUCGGCCACACUGGGACUGAGACACGGCCCAGACUCCUACGGGAGGCAGCAGUGGGGAAUCUUGCGCAAUGGGCGGAAGCCUGACGCAGCAACGCCGCGUGAGGGAUGACGGCCUC